GUGCCAGCCGCCGCGGUAAUACGUAGGUGGCAAGCGUUGUCCGGAUUUAUUGGGCGUAAAGCGAGCGCAGGCGGUUUCUUAAGUCUGAUGUGAAAGCCCCCGGCUCAACCGGGGAGGGUCAUUGGAAACUGGGAGACUUGAGUGCAGAAGAGGAGAGUGGAAUUCCAUGUGUAGCGGUGAAAUGCGUAGAUAUAUGGAGGAACACCAGUGGCGAAGGCGGCUCUCUGGUCUGUAACUGACGCUGAGGCUCGAAAGCGUGGGGAGCGAACAGGAUUAGAUACCCUGGUAGUCCACGCCGUAAACGAUGAGUGCUAAGUGUUGGAGGGUUUCCGCCCUUCAGUGCUGCAGCAAACGCAUUAAGCACUCCGCCUGGGGAGUACGACCGCAAGGUUGAAACUCAAAGGAAUUGACGGGGGCCCGCACAAGCGGUGGAGCAUGUGGUUUAAUUCGAAGCAACGCGAAGAACCUUACCAGGCCUUGACAUCCUUUGACCACUCUAGAGAUAGAGCUUCCCCUUCGGGGGCAAAGUGACAGGUGGUGCAUGGUUGUCGUCAGCUCGUGUCGUGAGAUGUUGGGUUAAGUCCCGCAACGAGCGCAACCCUUAUUGUUAGUUGCCAUCAUUUAGUUGGGCACUCUAGCGAGACUGCCGGUGAC
rnacentral:rRNA from 1 species